UGGGGAAUAUUGCACAAUGGGCGAAAGCCUGAUGCAGCGACGCCGCGUGAGGGAUGACGGCCUUCGGGUUGUAAACCUCUUUCAGUAGGGAAGAAGCCUUUCGGGGUGACGGUACCUGCAGAAGAAGCGCCGGCUAACUACGUG
rnacentral:rRNA from 1 species